rnacentral:rRNA from 1 species
AAAAGCCCAGCACCGAUCCCCCGCUUCUCAGCGGCGGUGGGAACUGUGGUGUUAAGGACAGCAAUGGGGAUCGGUUGGAGGUCCGAGUCCUCCUGAUCGGGGCUUUCACCCAGAGCGGGUGUCGGCCUCUACGGCCACCGGCCGGUUCUCUAUGGUCGUCCUAGGAGUCGGGUUGUUUGAGAAUGCAGCCCAAAGCGGGUGGUAAACUCCAUCUAAGGCUUAAAUACAGACACGAGUCCGAUAGCGCACAAGUACCCGUGAGGGAAAGUUGAAAAGAACUUUUGAAGAGAGAGUUCAACAGUANGUGAAACNGUUUAGAGGCAAAUGGAGAAGGACCGCAAAGUCGGCGUGUCGGAUUCAAUCUGUCGGCCGUGCGGCUGUCGCGUCGUGGACAUCUCCUCGCGGGAGUCUCGGCACGGCGGUUGCGUGCGGCGGUGGGUGCACUUUCGGCGCGUCGAGCGCCACGACCGGUUUGCCGGCGGUCAGAAGCGUUCGGGGAAGGUGGCCAUCGCUUCGGCGUUGGUGUUAUAGACCCGGAUCGCGUUGGCCCGUCGGCAGACCGUGGAAGACCGCUCGCGGUCGGCGUCCCGCUUCGUCUCUGUUCGAUCGACCGACUGGGGGAAACUGUCGUCAGUGUCCUUCGACUGCGGUCGUUCAGCGGGCGGACGUGUGGGC